CAGCUGCCAGCGGCGCGCGGCUGCCCGCGGAACAGAGGGAGAACCUUACUCAGCGGCUGUCUGUCUGGAAACCCUGGCUCAGAGGCGUACAGACCUGCGUCGGACCACAGUGCCUCCACCAGUUAGCUGAGUGACCUUGCCUCCCUUCCAGAGUCUACACCGAGGUGCGUGUGGACAUGCAGGUGAGGGGGCCGUUCCCAGAUCACAGCCUGGAGUGGCACCAACUCCUCCAUCUGGAAGCCAGGAGAUGUGGGGCCAAUUCAGGACCUGUCCACAUGAGUUGGCACUCUGAUGACGCAGCAGUGAACAAAAUACAGUUUCUGCCAUCAUGCUGCAUAUGUGGAGGGGAGACAGACAGAAACCAAAUAAAGCAGCAAGUAGGUGACAGACGUAAUGACAGAGGAGGUGAGUGUGAUGAAGGUAAGUCUGGCAGACUAAGUGGGGUGGAUGGUGGGGGCCUACUUUAGAUAGGUUGGCAUGGAGGAUGUCUCCCAAGAGGUGACAGGUGGGCAGAGAUCUGAAUGAAAGGUGGGGGGCAGGUCAUGCAGGUGUCUGGAGGAGUGGGUCCUCGGAAAAGGAGCAGCAAGUGCAACGGCCUUUAGAGCACAACCAGUCUGUAUAUUUAAGAAACAGAAAGAAUGCUAGGUGGGGACAGGCUGCAGAGGUACAGCCAGGAGCUAGGCAGUGCUAAGGGCCUGGGUUGCAUCCGGGCUGACUGGGGAGACCAUGGGGGCUCAUUGAUCCCAGGGUUAUAUGGCCAUGGGCUUUUUCUAGCCCCAGGCUAGGUGGGUUUGGCUUGGCAAGGGAGGGGGUGGGGUGGUCCCAAAGCUAGAUGCUGCCCUGGAGGCAGAUCCUGCGAGCAGUGCCAGGACAGGCUGAUGGGGCCUGCCUGCUCAUGUCUCAUUGUGUCGCUGCACCCGAGCCUCAGCCCCGUCCCUCACUGGUGUGCAGGAACAGAGCUAGCUGACAAAUUUACCCGCACCCCCAAACCAUAGGCCACAGUUGCUGCUAGGUUGGCGUGUGGGGUACCUACUUAGGGUGUUAGAUAUUUGGUGUCUCAUCCACUCCUGAAUGAUAUAUUCUUUCCUCUUCAGAAAACCCCUCCUCUUUGCCCUCCUCUCCCUUCUAACGUUCCUCUUCCCCAUCUUGAUUUAUUCCUCUGUUUAGUUCUCUUUUAUUUCUUAUUGAUCCAUCCCCCAAAGAUAGAAGCUUAUCAAGAAGCCAGAAGCUUACCAAGCAAAACCUAUGAAGCUGGGCCCCCUGGCCCGUAGAACAGCUAAGAUACUUGCCUUGGGUCUCAAAACUAGAAAGGGGUAGAGUCUUUAUUUGACAUCAGAGAGUGUGACUUUAGAGUCCUGCUGAGAUAUCUCCAUUUUAUCACCUCCCAGCAGGUCUCAGAGAAUGGCAGGCUGUGAUAAGACCAGGGACAGAGAUGCACCUAAGGCCCCUGGGAGUGCAGGGAAGGGCAAGCUGGUCCGGCUGCAGAGGCAGGAGGGCAGUCAGGGAAGUCUUUCCAGCAGAGGCAGCAUCGGAAGUAGGUUUAGAAAGCCGAGUGGGAUCUUGCCAGGCAGAGAAGAGGCAGUGUGGGGGAAUGUGAGGAAGGGCUGAAAGCAAGAAGGCUGGGAAACCCCGUGGUGUGUUGGGGAGCAACCAGUCAAUUAUUUAAAUUAAAUGCAGAAAGGAAUUACCUCAGUGGAAAAAUCAGACAGACUGGUUGUUUGACCCAAUCCUGUAGUUUUUGUUUUGUUUUCAAGUAACUGCCACUAUAUAAACUGAAGAAGUACAGAUAACUUUCAGUUAAUAAAUGAGAUUAAAUGUUUGUUUUAUGUUCAGGUCAAAGGGUAAAUAAAAUGGGAGGAGAAAGGAGGAGAAGGUUAGGGUCAAGGUUAGCAAGUUUCCUGCUCAAACAGAAUGGUGUCUGGUCAGUCGGUGACAUUUGAUCCUGAGAGGAAAAAAAGAGUUUGGGAAGCCUAAUUGAAAGGACGCAAAACUCUCCACUCAGUUGGAAAAACACCUCUCAAGUCUCCUAUUCCCAUUUCCUAGAAAUGGUUUAUUAUAAGAGUAUUAAGUGGAGAAGGGCUUUAGAGAGAAAAAAAUCUGAUUCAUAAUAAUAAUACCUGGUAUUUAUGCCACACCUUUCUCCCAAGAGCUCAGAUUGCUGUAGGAAAAUUACGUCACUAUUCCUCACCGCCUCAUCUUUGCCUCAAAGUGGUUUGCCCCCAAACCACACCCCCCUGGGACAACCUGGAGAGAAAGAGGUAGCCUGGGUAUUACUUGUGGGGUCAGCAUGGUGCUCCUGUGGGCUCUGCUGGGAUGGUGAGGCCUUGACUUCUAGGACUUGGGUCCCAAAGCUCUGCUGUCUGCUCUCCUUCCAUCCCUGGCCUGCAGAAGAGCACUAGACUGGUGUCCAUCUGCAGUGGGCAUAUCAUGCCAUAGGAAUCAACUAGUGUACACCUUCUGUAAAAAUCUCCAGAGAAGAAAGCACAGUGACUUUCUUUGAAAAGUAUCAGAGCCCCAGUAGAGAAAACUCUUCUCAACACCUAACUCAAAUCUCUUCUGCUGCAGUGGAGCCCCAUUCUUUUGGGUCUUGUCUACAGUUGACACAAAGAACAGGUGUCUUGUCCCGAUCACUUCAUGAAGACCCUGAAACUUUCCCUUAACUGACAAACUUUUAAAGUUAAUUGGCUGGAUCCUCCAUCUUCCAAACCAGAAAGCUAGGCUUUUCCAAAGCUCACAGAGGAGAAAUACUUACAUCCUACCUGCUAGAGGAGGUUGGGCAAGGAGUCAGCAAUAAUUCUUUGUGGACUACUCCGAGGGCAGAGCUCUGUCCUGGGUAUGUAGAAGAUAACAAUUAAUUAUGGCAUGGUCCCUAUCAUGAAGGGGCUUAUGGGAGAAGAGGGUAGAGCAUGUAUCCACAAAAAGCUAACUGCCAACUUAAAGUUAUGUGUCAAUGCAAGAUAACCAUGACUAGUAUUACAAGGAAGAGGAUUAUUGUAAUAAUUAUAACGAUAGUAACCAACUUUUACAAAGCACUUGCUAUGCGCACUGUGCUUUAUAUUCAUUAACUCAUUUCAUCUUUACUGCUUCCUUCUGAGGUAAGAACUAUUGUCUUAUUUUAGAGGGGGGAAACUGAGUCAUGGACAUAUUGAAAAACUUGCCUGAGGUCACAGAGUUAGUAAAUGGAAGAAUGCACAGUAUGAACUCAGAUGAUUUCAUGCCAGAAUAUGAAGGAUUAAAUCCAACAGGGAGAAAAAGCAGUUUUUAUCAUGACAGGACAUUGGGCAGAUUCUGCUAUGUGUGCCUGUCUGAUGGAGUCAAAGCAUUGGGGAAGUUGGAGGGGGCUUUGUAUUCCCAACUCUCUAAGACUGGCAGGGCUACUGUGCCUUCUUCAACUUCAGUAGAUUCCGUCUUUUAGCUGAUAUGUAGAAAUACCUGGAGUGCUCCUGAGGCAGAUGGGUGGAGAGAGCUGCAGUCUGAAUCAGCCUCCAGCUUGCUAUACAUCCUUGGACAAGUCGCUUUCCCUUUGGGCUUUCUUCCUAUGUGGAAAAUGAAAGGGUGUUGGACUCAGCCUGUGAAGUCCUAUCUAGCUCUAAAUGCUGUAGUUUUUAUGCCUCUUGCAUAAGCAGACAGUAUAAGGCACAUAAAUGAUUCAGCUCAGCUCAGGGCUGAGCAUGUGGUAUGCCAAGUGUUCUAAGAAAUGGGUGUUGAUUUGAUUGAGCUGCAUGGGGAAUACUGACAAGGGGCAUCCCCAGGGCUGGCAUGAUGGUCAGGGCAGACUUCAUGGAGAGGAUAGGACUGGAAUGCAGGAUGUAUAGCGGAGGUAGCUGAGGUCAUCCCUUCCUGCCCUAGAGAUGUGACUCUAAGUGUCUAAGUUAAUGCACAGAUGACUGUCAUUAGUCAUUGUAUCAGGAUGUGCUCAGUUGUAAGCAAUAGAAAAUUUCCCUGAAAUCUGCCUAAAACCAAGAAGGGGAUGUUUUAGCUUCUAUGAUCAGGAAGUCCAAGUGCAUGGUGGAGUUCAGGCUCAGCUCAGUCAGGGCUCCAGCUCUCUGUGACUCUGCGUGGGUUUGUCCUCAGGCUAGCUUCUCUCAUGAUUGCAAGAUGGCAGCCUAUGGCGACCAUGGCCAUGCUUGUCUACUCUCAAGCAACCAGUUAAAGUCCUGGUAACGUAAUCUGUGGGAUCCAGUGUGAAGGAAAAUGCAGGUAUACUGGUCAACAAUUACGAAGAACUUCAAGAAGGCAAAACCAGAGCAUUAACUGAAUUGUGAGACCUUAGUAAGUGCAGGGCCCUGUGUGACUGUAUGGGUCACAUGCCCGGGAAAUUGGCCCUGGUCCUGGGCUUGCUCUCAUUUGGCCAACUUGAACUAAUUACUCUAACUCCCAGGGGCACGCUAUGAGCCAGUUGGCUUAAGUUUGGAUUAUUGCUCAUCCUUGAACCAAUUCUUAUGAUAAAUCAGAUGGAAUUUUCUGAUUGGCUUAGAUCAAGCAGGGCCCAUCCUGGGAGCUUGGGACGGGUCUUGCUCCUCCUAGCCACAAGUACUACAAAAUAAAGGAGGAGGGGCCGCUCCAUGGCAGCAGUUGCGCAGCAGUUGCAGCAGCCCUGUGCGCGGCUUCAGCAUGGGUGGCUGACGCAGUGUCCUGCCACUGGAGGAACAUCCGAAGUGGACUCCCACCCCAGCAGGCAGACUUGCUGUUUUUUCCUCUGCCUCCUCCUGCUUCUCUAGAGCAAAUCAUGCUCCCCUCUGGUGAGCUGAGAGGAGCGUGGAUUUCAGGCAGUGUGGUGUUAUAGAGAGAACUCUGAAGAGGGAAAUGGAAGCAGGAUCUCAAAGAGACCUGCACCGCCCUGCUCACUGCAGCAUUCAUUACAACAGCCAAGACCUGGAAACCACCUAGGUCUCCACUGACCAAUGAAUGGAUACGGAAAAUAUAAUAUUACAUUUAUGUGAAACAUACAGUGUAAUACUACUCAGCCUUAAAACAAAAGGAAAUUCUGCUGUUUGUGAUAAUGUGGACAAACUUGGAGGACACUGUACUGAGUGAAAGAAGCCAGACACAGGAAGACAAAUAUUGCGUGUCGUCACUUACCUGUGGAAUCUAAUAUAGUAGAAUCCAAGAAAUACAAAGAAAAUAAUUAAGUAGAAUCCGAGAGUACAAAGGUGGUUGCCAGGAGCUGGGGGUUUGGGGAAGUGGGGAGAUGUUGGUCACAGUGUAUCAACUUCCAGUUCUAAGACGAAUAGAAUAAUAUUCUGGGGAUCUAAUGUGCAGUGUGGUGACUAUAGUUUGUAGUACUGCAUUAUAUACUUGAAAUUUGCUUAAAGAGUAGAUCUUACGUAUUCUCACCAGACACACAGAUGAGAACUAUAGGUGAGGUAAUGGAUGUGCUUGAUUAUGGUAAUCAUUACACAAUGUAUACUUCUAUCAAACCACUACAUUGUACACCUUAAAUAUAUACUUUUAAAUGUGUUAGUCAUACCUCAGUAAAGCUAGAAAAAAAGAUACGAUUCUGUAUGGGCUACUUCUGUACAGUUUUAAGGUCAGUGUUUUUUCAGUGAAUGAAUGUGACUACCACAGGGUAAAACUUGUCAAUAUUGUUUAAACAUACAUGUAUAAAUAAAGAUGCUUUCAACUGUAAGAAAGAAAAGAAGUUUGAGAUUAACCUUUCUACUUUGUUCCCUACUAGGUUCAUCAUCUUGCACACAGAUCUUUAUGUCUCCAUUGUUAUUUUCUUGGCUUUGAAGAAAAACAAUGCCAGUUUACCUAUUUCACAGGACUGAUGUGACAACUACCUGGGUCUAUAUAAGUGAAAAUGCUUUUUAAUCUGGUCAGGAUGAUAUACAUGAAGAGGACUGCUGUUAUUUAUUUUAUUUUAUCUCCCCCUGUUGUUUAUUUUAUUUUAUUUUGCCACCUCCCCUGUUAUUUACUUUAAAACUUGGUGACAUUAUGGUGACAUAGUGUCUGUGGGUUUUAAUGCCUUAAGAUGUUUAUUAUGCAAGUCCCUUGUAGAUUUUAAGUAAGAAACAGAAAUGGAGAGUGGAAGGAAAGAUCAGUGGGGCAUGGCAAUUUAGGAAAGUCAUUCGAAGACCCUUGAGUGUUACAAAUUAGGAGACAGGUAACUGGAGAAUAGAAUUUCUUGUUCGAAGUGGAAAUUUCAGAGGAAAAUCAUCCUAGUUUUUUACUGACCUGCAGAUCACAUCUUGGUCUCCCCUGCUGGGCCUGCCUGUGUCCAUUAGUUCCCGCUCCCAUUACCACUCUGCUCCUUGCUCCCUCUCUUCCCCACUCCUCUCCCAUAAUACUUGAGCCUCUCCUACGACCUCUUCAACCCCUUCUCUGCUGCCUUGGGUGGGAUGUCCUCUAGGCAACCUGGAAAGCAUCAGCAAUCAUGGGGUCCUGAUAGUCAUGGAUGAAGAGAAUGGAACUAGGUUCCACCAGGUUCCCAGAGCUCGGGCCUCUUCUGCAGGCUCCUUCUGCCUGAGGUGGCAGCAUCCAUCAUUCCUGACAGUUGCUUGCAAGGGGAGGCCUCUUCCAAAUCUGUAAGUCGCAGGUGCUCCAACAGGGAAGGCACAUGCCUCCCUCAUAGCAACGUAUGUAGAUGUCUAUUUUGACAUAUGCAUCUACAACACUGAAGGUAUAUCUACACAUAAAUUAGAUGCCACCCAUUCACCCUAAAGUUGGCCAUCCAAGAGCCCCUCCCAUCAUGCCCCCCACCGCCCCCAUCACCACCAUGCCUAAAAAUGAAACGGCAUGAUUUCCUAUCUCAUAUCAAACCUUCCAGGCUCCCUUGGGGGUCCUGUUUGGUUCUUAUAGAUCUAGAAACAACAAAAGAUGUUACUAGCUUAUUCUCCUAUUCCCAGUCAUCAAUGCUCCAUUCAGAUAAUCUCAGGACAGGGUUUGUAUAUGAUUUUCCUCAGAAAUUAGCCCAGGAGGAGGCUUUGUAGUGUUCUUGGGUCACUCGUUUAUUACUUUGCAUUCUGACAGUUUGGCAAAACUUCAUAAUUAUAGGACGCUUGUGCAUCGGCUGCUCGGCAUCCACUCUCUCUCUUUUCUGAUAACACCAUCCUAAUUUCACAUGGCAUAAUUACCCAUGGGUGUAGUUUUGGUCCCAAUAAAGUCAUGUCCUUGGCUAACCAACAGGUGUCCUGUUCUGGUCCAACCAAGAGGCGGGUCCCUGCCCCAGGCUACGCCAGCCAGAUUCUCACUCCUGGGACUUGGCUGAAAUGAAUCAGCAGGAUGGGUCAUGCUGGGGUGUUCCAGCUCUGAGCACACUGGCUUCUUUCCUGCUCCACACGGGUGCCCUGACAGACUUUGCCUCUCUAAACCCAGGUCCCGGCUUUUCCUCUGGCCCUGAGAGCCACCUAUGUUAGCCCCAGAAAGAAUCCCUAACCCCCAGUUUCUGGACACUUGACUGAGUCUACUAAAAUCACCUCGCUUAAUCCCUGUAAGAACCUUACGAGUUCUGACCUGUCCGGGGACUUCUCAUGCCCUGUUAGGAAGUUUUGGAAGCCUCACCUAGAAAAGAUUCUGCCUCUCCAAGUCCCUUGUGGGCACAGAGCCAUACUGGAUGAGGUAAUGGAGGCCUAAGAAAGGUUGGAGAUGUAAUCAAGUUCACAGAGUUAGCAGUGAUUUGUUUUAUCUGAAAAUAUGGCUUGAAGAAAUGAAUCAGUUGCUCAGCGAGCGGGCUGGGUCGCCCUGAUGGGAGGGUGUAGCCCAGUGACUGUGAGAGAGGGCAGAGCUGAGUCUCAUGAGCGCUGUGGCCGUGGUGUCAACCAGGUUCUACGUCCUCGGGGAAUCAGGACAUCUGUGCCUCAUGUGAUCGACAUUUCCAAAGAGAGGAAACUUGAGGCCACAGGCACUUCAGGCAAGAGGCUGACCAUGGAGGCUGCCAGCAAAUCAGCUUCCCUGCUCACACUCAUGGCCUCUGGAAUCUAGCUCACAUACAUCUGCUUUGCUACCAUUAUCCCCUUCCUGAAUGUUCUCAUCAAGACCAUUGAUUGGAAUGCAUCUUCAGAGUACCAGUGGAAGAGAUGCUGCUGAUUGCUACUGAAGCCCAGGCCCCUUUCCUUUGUCCAGGACGAUGCAGUUUUGUUCAGAUGUCUACACCAUCCCCCGCUUCAGAGGGCAAUUUUGAUCAGUUAAGCCAGUAGGUCUCAGAUGGGAAAACGCUUCGGCUCCACUGCCUCUGGCAGCCUCUUGCAACUGUGAGGGAAAAUAUGGACAGGACAGUGUGGGGACAGGGCAAGGCCACAGGGCCUUGAGGACUUCCCUAGGCUGCUGCUGUGACCUUGCCUGCAGCCACUCUGGUCUUUCAGGGACAUAAGAUGGUAAAUCUCAUUGCUGAAUCCAGUUGAGUUGUGUUUUCUGUUACCUGCCUCUGAGAGCUCCCUUCCACGAUGCAGUACUUACUCGAUGUAAUUCUACACCCAAUUCCAGUGUGUGGGUGCAUUUUCCAACACCACCAAGUAAUUAACUCAGUUCUGACACUCCCUGGAGAGAGCAUCAGAUCCCACAGGUUAAGGGCUCAGUCCCACAAGCCUGGCCCCCGCCCCCAGCUGCAGAUGACAGUAGCAAGUCCAGGUUGUCACCUGUGCUUCUGACCCCUGGCUAUAGACUGGAGCUUCCAGCCAUGUCCUCCUUGGAUUCGAUUAAUUUGCUAGAGUGGCUCACAGAACACAGAGAAAUAUCUUACUUACGAGAUGACCAGUUUAUUAUAAAAGGUUAUAACUCAACAACAGCCAGGUGGGAGAGAUGCACGGGGCAAAGGUUCAUGCCCUGUGCCUUCCAUGCCCUCUCUGGGCGCACCAGUUUCCCCGCUGUCACAUGUGUUUACCAGCUCUGAAGCUCUCUGAACCGUCCUUUGUGUUUUUAUGGAGGUUCAUUAAGCAGACAUGACUUAUGAAAUCACUGGCCACUGGUUACUGAGUCAGCCUCCAGCCCCUCUCUCCUUCCUGGGGUCAAAGGGGUGGGACCAAAGGUUCUGACCCACUGAUCGCAGGUUGGUCCUCCUGGUGACCAGCCCCAUCCUUAGGAGCUAUCCUAACGUCACCUCUUUAACAUAACAAGAGAUGCCUUUCUUGCUAUUUUCACUUAGGCAAUUCCAAAAGUUGUUAGAGGUUUGGGCCAGAAAUGGAGACAAAGACCAAAUAUAUAUUUCUCAUUAUAAGUCACAAUAUCACACUUGGAAAAUGAGGAGUUG